UCAUGGCUUUAGGUUUAGCUCGCAGCACAAGAAGUCGCGAUCUCUGUUUACCCUUCUUCUUCUCCAAACGCUGAGAUUGGAUCGAUUCUGGGUUCAAGUGCAGGUUGGCAGCAUGAUGUUACUGAUGAUAGUAGUGGGGUGGCAGGGUGGUGGUGGGGAUACAGUUGUGGUAUUAUAUGCCAAUGACCAUGACACUCAAGGUGAUUGAAGGCAGUGUACCAUAAUGGUGUCAGUGGUGCUUGGUUGGGCUGUGUCAUCAUGCUAGCAGAAGUUGUGGCAAUGGCAUGCUGUUGUGGUGGUUGUGGCAUUAAGUAGGGAAUAUUCAAGUAGGCAACUGUAUAAUAAUAAAGUAUGGCUUUAACCUUUUUUAGAUUAGGUUCUUAAAUUUUUUUUUUUCAUGCACGCCUUUGUUUUUAGCAUAUCAAAAACAUCUUUAAGAAUUCAGGUACUAUUGGAAAAAAGUUUGUCCAAAAUUUUAAGGUAUAAAAAGCCCAUAUGUAGUUAGUUUUUUCAAAAAAUACUCUUAUUUAAAUGGAUGCUAAAAAUAAUAAAA